rnacentral:snRNA from 1 species
GUGAGGGCAAUCUGGAGCGACAUCUGUCACUGCAUUGCUUGGGCUGACUUGGCAGACCUGCCAGGUGGGCGGGGUCUUUCCUCCCUCCCCGCCCCUUGUGCUUCCCUCCAGAGGCUGCCUGCUCCGUUGAUCAAAGAGGACAACCACCACCCUGUUGGGGCCCAUUUCCUGGUCAGGGGACCGAGUGGCCCUGCCCCUGCUAGAACCUCCCCACCAGGUCUCCAGGCCCACUGUACUUCCACUUGUGUAUGGGUUAGAGGAGCAAAACAAAAUCUUU